rnacentral:siRNA from 1 species
ACAUCAAUCUGCAGUUAUACCA